AAAGAAAAGAGUGGCGAACGGGUGAGUAACACGUGGGUAACCUGCCCAUCAGAAGGGGAUAACACUUGGAAACAGGUGCUAAUACCGUAUAACAAGUAAAACCGCAUGGUUUUACUUUGAAAGGCGCUUUUGCGUCACUGAUGGAUGGACCCGCGGUGCAUUAGCUAGUUGGUGAGGUAACGGCUCACCAAGGCAACGAUGCAUAGCCGACCUGAGAGGGUGAUCGGCCACAUUGGGACUGAGACACGGCCCAAAUUCCUACGGGAGGCAGCAGUAGGGAAUCUUCGGCAAUGGACGAAAGUCUGACCGAGCAACGCCGCGUGAGUGAAGAAGGUUUUCGGAUCGUAAAACUCUGUUGUUAGAGAAGAACAAGGAUGAGAGUAAAAAGUUCAUCCCUUGACGGUAUCUAACCAGAAAGCCACGGCUAACUACGUGCCAGCAGCCGCGGUAAUACGUAGGUGGCAAGCGUUGUCCGGAUUUAUUGGGCGUAAAGCGAGCGCAGGCGGUUUCUUAAGUCUGAUGUGAAAGCCCCCGGCUCAACCGGGGAGGGUCAUUGGAAACUGGGAAACUUGAGUGCAGAAGAGGAGAGUGGAAUUCCAUGUGUAGCGGUGAAAUGCGUAGAUAUAUGGAGGAACACCAGUGGCGAAGGCGGCUCUCUGGUCUGUAACUGACGCUGAGGCUCGAAAGCGUGGGGAGCAAACAGGAUUAGAUACCCUGGUAGUCCACGCCGUAAACGAUGAGUGCUAAGUGUUGGAGGGUUUCCGCCCUUCAGUGCUGCAGCUAACGCAUUAAGCACUCCGCCUGGGGAGUACGACCGCAAGGUUGAAACUCAAAGGAAUUGACGGGGGCCCGCACAAGCGGUGGAGCAUGUGGUUUAAUUCGAAGCAACGCGAAGAACCUUACCAGGUCUUGACAUCCUUUGACCACUCUAGAGAUAGAGCUUCCCCUUCGGGGGCAAAGUGACAGGUGGUGCAUGGUUGUCGUCAGCUCGUGUCGUGAGAUGUUGGGUUAAGUCCCGCAACGAGCGCAACCCUUAUUGUUAGUUGCCAUCAUUUAGUUGGGCACUCUAGCGAGACUGCCGGUGACAAACCGGAGGAAGGUGGGGAUGACGUCAAAUCAUCAUGCCCCUUAUGACCUGGGCUACACACGUGCUACAAUGGGAAGUACAACGAGUCGCGAAGUCGCGAGGCUAAGCUAAUCUCUUAAAGCUUCUCUCAGUUCGGAUUGUAGGCUGCAACUCGCCUACAUGAAGCCGGAAUCGCUAGUAAUCGCG
rnacentral:rRNA from 1 species